AGGUUACUGCUAUCGAGGUUCGACUAAGCCAUGCGAGUCGAAUGUAGCAAUACAUGGCGAACUGCUCAGUAACACGUGGACAACCUGCCCUUAGGACGGGGAUAAACCCGGGAAACUGGGUAUAAUACCCGAUAGGUCUCGAUUGCUGGAAUGCAUCGAGAUUUAAAGCUCCGGCGCCUAAGGAUGGGUCUGCGGCCUAUCAGGUAGUAGUGGGUGUAGCGUACCUACUAGCCUACGACGGGUACGGGUUGUGAGAGCAAGAGCCCGGAGAUGGAUUCUGAGACACGAAUCCAGGCCCUACGGGGUGCAGCAGGCGCGAAAACUUUACAAUGCUGGCAACAGCGAUAAGGGAACCUCGAGUGCCAGGUUACAAAUCUGGCUGUCGAGAUGCCUAAAAAGCAUUUCAUAGCAAGGGCCGGGCAAGACCGGUGCCAGCCGCCGCGGUAACACCGGCGGCUCGAGUGGUAACCGUUAUUAUUGGGUCUAAAGGGUCUGUAGCCGGCCGGAUAAGUCUCUUGAGAAAUCUGGCAGCUUAACUGUCAGGCUUUCAGGAGAUACUGUCUGGCUCGAGGCCGGGAGAGGUGAGAGGUACUUCAGGGGUAGGGGUGAAAUCUUGUAAUCCUUGAAGGACCACCAGUGGCGAAGGCGUCUCACCAGAACGGACCUGACGGCAAGGGACGAAAGCUAGGGGCACGAACCGGAUUAGAUACCCGGGUAGUCCUAGCCGUAAACGAUACUCGCUAGGUGUCGGCCACGGUGCGACCGUUGUCGGUGCCGUAGGGAAGCCGUGAAGCGAGCCACCUGGGAAGUACGGCCGCAAGGCUGAAACUUAAAGGAAUUGGCGGGGGAGCAC
rnacentral:rRNA from 1 species